rnacentral:rRNA from 1 species
AUUGAACGCUGGCGGCAGGCUUAACACAUGCAAGUCGAGCGGAGAUGAGGUGCUUGCACCUUAUCUUAGCGGCGGACGGGUGAGUAAUGCUUAGGAAUCUGCCUAUUAGUGGGGGACAACAUUCCGAAAGGAAUGCUAAUACCGCAUACGUCCUACGGGAGAAAGCAGGGGAUCUUCGGACCUUGCGCUAAUAGAUGAGCCUAAGUCGGAUUAGCUAGUUGGUGGGGUAAAGGCCUACCAAGGAGACGAUCUGUAGCGGGUCUGAGAGGAUGAUACGCCACUCUGGGACUGAGACACGGACAAGACUCCUACGGGAGGCAGCAGUGGGGAAUAUGGGACAAUGGGGGGAACUCUGAUCCAGCCAUGCCGCGUGUGUGAAGAAGGCCUUAUGGUUGUAAAGCACUUUAAGCGAGGAGGAGGCUACUGAGACUAAUACUCUUGGAUAGUGGACGUUACUCGCAGAAUAAGCACCGGCUAACUCUGUGCCAGCCGCCGCAGUAA